rnacentral:lncRNA from 1 species
UUACAUGUGUGUAUGUUUAUAAGUUUGUACGGUACAUCAAUGCAAUACACAUAAUUUUCAUUUCCAAAAUAUCUUUUCUUAGUCUUCUCUCUCUAAAAAGCUUCCAGAUCUUCCAUCCGCUGCAUCUACAGCUCAACAAGAAAAAAUACUUCUCAAAAUAAGCUGAUUUUUAAGCUUGGCUAAACAGGCUAAUGUCUUCGUUUCUUACUUUUUUUAAACCAAAAAAUGUCAAAAGCAUCUAAGUUUCAGUGUUGAAACAGGCUAAUAUCAUACUCGAAAAUUACAUAGGGAAGGAUAUAACCUAGCCCCCAGAAACAAUUUUGAAAAUGGUAAAAACCAUUACUGUACAUGAUGAUAGGAAGAAAGCCUAUCUAGGCCUAAUUUUAUAUACCUCUGUGAGGAUGUCAGUUCAACUCUCAAAAAAAGGUUAAUUAUAGUUCUCGACAAAACUAUAAGUAAUUUUGAAAUUCAACCUAUAUUCCAAGUAAAAUGACCCUCCUUUGGUCUAAUUUUGAAAUUAGGCCUUGCCAGUUGAUCGUCCUUCGGUUACAUGACAAUAAUUUUACCAGUUACGUCAAGGCUCCUAACUUGGGAGUUCAGAUCUCAUCAACAAAUACAGUAGACGCAUAAUCUAGGAUUAAACAUAUACAAUAGAGGAUCUAAACCUGAGAUUUUUAUAUUUUAAUUUUGGGAAUUGCUGGGAAAAGGAGAUGCAAUGUAAUCAAAAUUAAAAAUCCAAAAUUCCACACAAGAGAUUUCAGAACUUGUACUUCUCUUGAGAGAAGUGAAUUCAAAAUUUUAUAUAUGUAUUAUCCUAUUUACGCAAUAUAACUUUCUGACAAAGUUUGUAUUUGGCUAUGCCACUAGGCACAAUUUCAUCUUCAGCACCUUGCCACAGUGAACAGAGGCUUUAUUGUUAGUUAAAUGAUUAACAAAUUAGAAUUUACAAAACCAGAAAUCAGGUCUUGAUGGAGAGACUCAAACUCCCCUUGCUGUAUAACAUAUGCCUGCAUAUAAAUAUAGUCAGCAAACUAAAGCAACAUCAAAUUAUGAUACCUGAGAAUGGAAAUAAACAAGGGCAAUCUUGCUCAAUGUGCACAAAGAGUCACCAAACACAUGCUCUAAUGUUUUCAAAAGUGCUUUGCAAAUUGAUUAGCCAACCACAAACUACUAAUUUCUAAAAGUAUAUUUUUCGAAAAGCAUUUCCCAAAAUAAGGAGAUCUAGAUGCCUGGCCAAACAUGCUAUGAUAUAUCUUUUAAUUACAAUAAUUGUAUAACUACCACCAAUAGUGGUUGAGAUUUUUAUAUAAACUUUGAAUAUAAAAUUGCCUAGUUAUUACCAAUAGAGAGUGGUAAUUAGAUGAAAAUGACAUUCCUGCUACCAAAUAUUAUCUCCCUCUACAUAAGGUACAUGUUUUUUAAAAUCAUUAUAAUGUGUUACUUUCAUUAUUAACUUGUUGGAGUAUCAAGAAAAAUUUUAGAAUUUGAAAAGUAUUAUCUAGUUAGAUUACCCCAAAAGCAAUCAAAAUAUUAAAAUACCAAAAAGAUCCAGUUUAAAUACAAACUUUUCUCAUAUUUCAAGUAACUAUAGGUCUACGCGGUGAGAGCCAGAAUUAAAUUGAUAUUUUCAUUGCAAUACACUUUCUUACUUUGUGGAUAAUCAAUACCUUUUCAGUAUAGUACACUUUUCUACUUUCUAUAACUAUCAUCACCUAUUAAAUAUUAAUUUCUUGUCAAUUUUCAAAAAUUAUGUUUUCACUUGAUACUCCUACAAGUUAAUAAUGAAAGUUAUUUACAUUAUAAAGAUUGGGGAAUAAAAAGGACGCAACAUGGACCAAAAUGUGGGGGAAGAUAAAGUACCGAUAAUUGGGUACUUGAUAGUAGAAAUGUCACUUUUAUCUAACUACCUCCACCUAUGGAUAUUAGCUAGACAAUUAUUUUAUUUCAAAAUACAUCAGGAUUGAUCCUUCCAUUAUCUCACAAGCUGAACGUCGACCCAAGCUACACUCUAUAAAAAAAAAAAAAAAAAAUAGAUGGCUACCACUGUACCACACAGAAUCAAAUUAAAGCGUUAGAGGGACUCCACGACAUGUUCAACAUGUUUGAAGUCCAAAUUGUGGAGUUAAAAUGGAGGAAGACACGAAACAACACUCAACAGCUCGAAAGAGAAUCCUUACAAGCAGUGGCGAAGCCAGGAUCACUGCUAAGGGAGUUCAAAAAAAAAAAAGAUUGUAGCUAGUAGGAAUUGAACCUAUGACCUUACAAAAGUUUUGAAUCUCUUGACCACUAAGCCACACUUUUGAGUUGUAUCGAAAGGAUUCAAAACUUAAUAUAUAGAGGUAAAAACAGAUUUUGCAUUAUAUGUACAGUGUAAUUUUUCGGCGAAGGGGGUUCGGAACCCCCUUCCAGCCCCCUAAAUCCGCCCAUGCUUACAAGUUGCACGAUAAGCCUUGUAUAGAAGCAGGGCGGAGAGUAUUGGCGACGGGUUCGGACGAACCCAAUAACUUUUGCUUAAAUGAUAUAUAUAUAUAUAUAUACACACUUCAUGACAUCUCCUGAUGAUGCUUACUUUAAUACUUUCGAGCAAUCUUGGUGUUUAUGUUCUUUCAUGUACCAACUGCAUGAUAGUAUUGGAUGGCCGAGUGCCCCAUGUCAUACACCCUUUAAGCAACGUGUUUCUUUACUAAAAAGCUAUUUAUAAAAAAUAAGGGGAUUUUAUUUGAAAGCAACAAAAAUAUGACACUGGAAUGGUGUAGAUCGCCUUAACCGAAAAACUUGUUUAUUGAAAAAGUAAAAUCCCUUUUGAAAUACCAAAAUGAGUCCCUUACUUGGUAAGGGACGAAAUAUCCGGAUUAAGCAGAUUUAGUUGGCUGGAGGAAGAUGUUAAGCAUUGGGGUAUACAUGGACCGGAUUGGUUUGAUUUUUAUCAAAACCAAACCAAACCAACUAUAUCGGUUUAGAUUGGUUCGGUUUUGUUGGGUUUUUCGGAUUUUCGGGUUUUUUGUUACAUGAAUAUUAUUUCAAUCUUACUUUGUUAAAAUUAUAGAGAAAGCUUUGAUAAGUGAAUAUAUGUUUAGUAAAUAUGGAAAAAAAUUUACAAACAUAUGAUCUAUUAAAAUAUUCUAAUGGGUGAAUUUUUUUAGUAACACAUGAUAGUUAUUUUCUUAGUCGUCUAACAAUAAUCUUUCGUUAAUUUACGUUUCAAGGUUAAUACAUGAGAGGAUCCCAAAUAUUUCUACAUUUUCAAAAAAAAAUCAUUAUAAAGUCUUAAAAAUAUAAAUAAAAUUUAUAUAUUUAUAGUUGGUUUGGUUCGGGUUUUUUUACUCACUACCAAACCAAGUCAAACCAAACCUAACCGGGUUUUUUAAUCGAUUUGGUUUGAUUUUUCGGUUUGGUGCGAUUUUCCGAUUCGGUUUGAACACCCCUAGUUAAGCACCCCAAGUCUUGUGUUGAGACAGGAUCAUUUGCAUCGACUCAUAUCGACGUAAGUAGAGACAGAAUAAAUGAAAUUUGGACAUGCAAGCACACUGACAUGAGGUUCAAAAUAUUUGUUACAACCCCUAAGCAAAAUGAAAGAAAAAGAAAAUUCUAAUCUAUCUUGUCUACCCUAUUCUAUGCUUUCCCUAACAUCCACAUAUCUAGUCCACUAAUGGCCUCCAAUUCAACGGGGCUUUUGCAUCUAUACCUAGUUUUUGGUCACAACUGAACCUAUACCCACUUUGUAAAAAAAUUUGCAAGCAUACCCACUUUACGAUCAAUUUCAGACUUAUCGAGUCUGAAGUUAAAAAAAAUUAGUUUGAAGUGAAAAAAUUGCACUUCAAAUGCACUUAAGGCCAAAUAGGUCUGAAGUGCAACCAAUGGUGUCAUGCACUUAAGGCUAAUAAGUCUGAAGUGAAAAAUUGCAUUUUAGAUGCACUUAAGGCUAAUAAGUCUGAAGUGAAAAAUUGCAUUUUAGAUGCACUUAAGGCCAAUAAGUCUGAAGUGAAAAAUUGCACUUCAGAUGCACUUAAUGCCAAAAAAUCUGAAGUGCAACAAACAUUUUCAUUCAUUUAAGGCUAAUAAGUCUGAAGUGAUUUGCACUUCAGAUGCACUUAAGGCCAAUAAGUCUGAAGUGAAAAAUUGCACUUCAUAUGCACUUAAGGCCAAAAAAUCUGAAGUACAACAAACAUUUUUAUUCAUUUAAGGCCAAUAAGUCCUGUAGGUCGAGUAUAGGGCUUUCUCGAUCUCCGUCCAGACGGACUUGAUUGCUUAUUUCAUUCCAUCUCUGAAGUGAUUUACACAUCAGAUGCACUAAAGGCCAAAUAGGUCUGAAGUGUAUCCAAUGUCUAAUGCACUUAAGGCCAAGAAGUCUGAAGUGAAAAAUUGGACUUCAGAUGCACUUAAGGCCAAAAGGUCUGAAGUACACAACGUUUUGCUACACUUAAGGCCAAUAAAUCUGAAGUGAAAAAUUGCAUUUCAUAUGCACUUGCCAAUGGUCUGAAGUGCAACAAAUGUUUUGCUACACUUAAGGCAAAUAAGUCUAAAGUGAAAAAUUGUACUUCAGAUGCACUUAAGACCAAAAGGUUUGAAGUGCAACCAACGUUUUUAUAUACUUAAGGCGAAAUAGACCUGAAGUGCAAACCAGAAAGAGAUAUUUGUUCUUCGAAUUAUAACAAUCCAAUAUACGAUUUAAUACCUAAAUCUACUCCAAAUGAGCUCAAAUUUGAAACAUAACCUCCAAAUAUCAUCAGGAACAAACCCCAAUCAUCAAUUUGUCAAAACAACAAUAAAUUUAAUGAACCCAUUUUGCAAUUAAGAAAAAGAAGAAGAAAUCCUAAGCAAUAGUAAAAAAUAAAGCGUCAUACAAGCUCACCAAUAUUGUAAAACAUCAUAAACUACAUUAAAAUAUGUUCACAACCACCAUAUAAAAUCAUUGUCAAAUAGAAGCCUGAAGUUGUUUAAAAAAUGAGUAUAAGUUAAAAAAAAAAUUAAAAGUGGGCAUAAGUUAAAUGGGGACAACCAAAUUGGACGCCCCGUGCAAUUUUUACCCAAUUCAAAGAUACUUCGGGGCAUUUUCGCGGGACAAUGUACAUGAGAUUUCGAAAGGAGGCACACAAUCAAUCCAAUGGCCCCUGAGUUUACCUACUCAAUCUGUUGUAGAUCUAGACAUGUCCCUAACGACCCAAGUAAAUAAAAGGGAUUGUUGCACAAAUAGCCGUUCAAAUUUACUGUAUAUUUUUUCUAGUCGGUAUACAUAGAUUAUACAUUAUUUAUAUACAAUUAUACACAUAUUAUACAUAAAUUAUAUAUUUACGGGCUAUUUUUAGUUUAAGAGAUUAGAUGGGCAGCUAUUUGGGUUAAUUCUUCUAAAUAAAAACAUGAAAUUAUACACUAUAUGAAACUAUAUUAUCCUCCCGACUCAAAUUUUACUAUAAUUACAUUUUAUAUACCUAAUUACCAUUUAGUACAUUUUAAGGGAAUUAAUGAUAAUAAUUAGUGUCCUAAAAUAACUCUAACAUAUCUUCCACUCACCCCAUGUUUCUCUCUCCACAUCCCACCCCCUUCCCCACGUAUCUUGCACUCACCCACGAUUCCACCAUUGACGACUAUUAUAAAGCUUUGAAGCUUUGAUUUGAAUUUGGGUUUUCAAAAAACAUUAUUUGUUUGAAUUGGGUGUUGUUGCAAAAAAUUGAGAAUUCUCUCUACGUCUCUCUCUAUCUCUCCAUCCCUAGUUCCAGUAAUGUAAAUCAAAGGAAAGGAGAGCAGCAAUUCCGCCAUUGACAACCAUUAAAAAGCUUUGAAGCUUUGAAUUCGAAUUUAAAUUUUCAAAAAUCAUUAUUUGUUUGGAUUGGGUGUUGUUGCAAACAAUUGGGAAUAUCAAAGAGGAAAUUAUAGAAAAUUUCCAGCUUGAGAGUGAUGGGGUUUCUGAAACGAGCAAAGAAUUACACGAAAUUGGGGAACUAAAAGAGGAACAAGGAUUCAUGGGUUCUGAUUGAAGCAGCAACAUUGAUAUUUGGAGACGUUAAAAACGAAAAAUCCAAAUCCGAAUGGGAGAGAGAGACAGAGAGAAAAGGCUUCAAAUUUGAAAAUUCUGAAAACCGUAGAGAGAAAACGGAGGAUGAAGACAACGAUGUUUAUUGUACCACUUGUGAACAAUUUAGCUGCUUGGAAAGUUGUAGAUAGGAUGGUAUAUAUUUUGUAACUAAAAUGUGUUUAGGUCGGGUAAAUAUCAAAACAUGGACAUUUUUCGUAAUAAGAUUUCAAAUAAUGUAUAAGAAUGAAAAAAUCCCUAAAAACAUGGAUGAAAUUAUCAAAAAGAUCAUUAGGCCUAAUUCCCUUUAACCUGUCUAAAUUGCACGGGGCGCCCUAUUUGGUCGCCCCCAUUUAACUUAUACCAAUUUUUUUUAAAACUUUUAACUUGUACCCACUUUUUAAAUAACUUCAGCCCCCUUUCUCCUCCUCAUUGCUUUGCAACUCUCUCAAAUCAUAUACAGGAGAAUCUCAGCUAAGAACCUUAGGACGUUCUUCCCAUGCAGUGAUACUAUAUAAAUGAACACUUUCUUCCUGGUCUCUCGAUUACUAACAAAGGAAUUGACAGAUUCAAACAAAAAUUAAAGAAAUGCUAGAUUAAUGAGGAUUCAUGUCUUUAUCAUUGCCCAAGGGGCUUCUUUAUCUUCAUAAAGGAUAAAUAUUAUCCAUAGAGAUCUGGAGGCGAAUAACAAUAUUCUUCUAGACGGUAAUGAACCUCAAAUAUCAAAUUUUGGAUUGUCGCAUGUUUUUGGUGGCAAAGAUUCAGAAGCUAAGACAAAUCGAGUUGUUGGAACUUAAUAAUCAUGCAUGCAACCUUCCUAAGCACAAAUAAUUCUUCCAGCACAAAAACUCGCCAGUUACAAACAAAAACUUCAGCUAUAGAGCUGAAGUUCGACAGUUACAAAACAAAAACUUCAGCUCUAGAGCUUAAGCUUACAAACAAAAACUUCAACUCUAGAGCUGAACUUCAGGCCCGGCUACUAGAAUGCUGAAGUUUUGCGUGAUUGUCUUUGCUACUUCAGCCCCGUAUGUUGAAGUUAUGCGAAAAAGCGGGUAUGCUUGCAAUUUUUUUUGCAAAGCGGGUGACACAAAAAGCGGGUAUAAAUACAAAUGCCCCCUCUAACCUAACCCCAAACCUCUUGUGCACAUUUAAUAUCAGUUAAACCAAGCCCAAACUCUUUUGUGCAUAUCUAAUAACUCAGGGCCCAAUUUAUUCCAUUCAGCUAAUGGUCCACUUGCCUUUUAAUUAGUGAAAUUGCUUAAGCAACAGAUUAUCUAUCCAAAUUGAACAACUAAUAAUCAAAAGACUAGUUACUAAAACCAAAUGCAUUCCAUCGGAUAAUCAAACAUUAAGGAACUUCAGAUUAUUCACAAAGCAUCACAUAUAAUCACUUCAUCUGAACAACAAGUAAAAUCAUACAAGCAACAGGAACCUAUUAAAACAAAAAAGAGAGGUUGAGAAAUGGACCUUUAAUAGAGAAUUCCAUCAAAAAUUAGACGAAACGGCCUCUGGCAGGAGCUUCGAUGGGCAGCCUCGUUAGCUAGAUUUGCCCUUCCGUUUAGAUCUGAGUAGUGAUGGAUAGUUACACUGUGUGUGUGUGUGGUGGAGUGUAA